rnacentral:rRNA from 1 species
AUUGAACGCUGGCGGCAGGCUUAACACAUGCAAGUCGAACGAGUGGCGGACGGGUGAGUAAUGCUUGGGAAUCUAGCUUAUGGAGGGGGAUAACUACGGGAAACUGUAGCUAAUACCGCGUACCAUAGGAUGAGCCCAAGUGGGAUUAGGUAGUUGGUGAGGUAAAGGCUCACCAAGCCGACGAUCUCUAGCUGGUCUGAGAGGAUGACCGGCCACACCGGAACAGCGACCCGGCCCAGACUCCUACGGGAGGCCGCAGUGGGGAAUAUUGCGCAAUGGGGGCAACCUGACGCAGCCAUGCCGCGUGAAUGAAGAAGGCCUUCGGGUUGUAAAGUUCUUUCGGUAGCGAGGCGUUAACUACAGAAGAAGCCCCGGCUAACUCCGUGCCAGCAGCCGCGGUAAUUC